rnacentral:rRNA from 1 species
UACGUAGGGUGCAAGCGUUGUCCGGAAUCAUUGGGCGUAAAGCGCGCGUAGGUGGCUUCGUAAGUCCGUUGUGAAAGUCAAAGGCUCAACCUUUGAAUGCCGAUGGAUACUGCGAAGCUAGAGUACGGAAGAGGCGAGUGGAAUUCCUGGUGUAGCGGUGGAAUGCGCAGAUAUCAGGAGGAACACCAAUAGCGAAGGCAGCUCGCUGGGACGUUACUGACACUGAGGCGCGAAAGCGUGGGGAGCGAACAGG